rnacentral:rRNA from 1 species
GACGAACGCUGGCGGCGUGCUUAACACAUGCAAGUGGAGCGACGAAACCAGGCUUCGGCCUGGGGCAGAGCCGCGAACGGGUGAGUAACACGUGGGUAACCUACCCCGAUGACCGGGACAACCCGAGGAAACUCGGGCUAAUACCGGAUGUCCUCGCUUCUCGUAAGGGAAUCGAGAAAAGAUAGCUUCGGCCUUCGCAUCGGGACGGGCCCGCGGCCCAUUAGCUUGUUGGUGGGGUAACGGCCUACCAAGGCGACGAUGGGUAGCUGGUCUGAGAGGACGAUCAGCCACACUGGGACUGAGACACGGCCCAGACUCCUACGGGAGGCAGCAGUGGGGAAUCUUGCGCAAUGCGCGAAAGCGUGACGCAGCAACGCCGCGUGGGGGAAGAAGGCCUUCGGGUUGUAAACCCCUUUCAGUUGGGACGAAGCUUCGCCGGUUAAUAGCCGGCUGGAGUGACGGUACCUUCAGAAGAAGCCCCGGCUAACUACGUG